GCCAGCAUUGUAUAGUGGCAUGAGUGUUGGACUACAACUCCAAAGACCAGGGUUUGAAUCCCUGCUUGGCC